GCGAGUCCUCUACAUGUGGUGCUCUGCAAGCAAGUGAAAAUAGACUAAGCUCAAAGGAAAGAAAAGCGCUUGAUGACAAUUUUACCAAAAUGCUACCAUGUCCAUUGAUCACCUUUGAGAUUAAAAGAAAUAUUGUGAGGAAGACUGGUGUAUGAUCAGUCAGAUUAAUGAUUACUUAAGGUGAAAUGGAAGCUAAAAAAGGUGGGUAACCUAUCUUGUAUCUUGUGUGUUUCAGACUUCAGAUUAACUCUCAGAGCUUUUAAUUUUAAAAGUGAUGCUUUCUCCAUCAUUGUGUGUAACCUUCUAUUAACUACUAUAAUGUUUGCUUACAAUUUGUACAUUUUUAAACAUAACAUACAUACUUUUAUUCCUUUAUUUCAGUCCCUUCACUAAAGUUUGAGCUCCAAGAUAGCAGGUUUUUUUGUUUUCCUGACUUUUUUAUGUCUCUAUGUUUAGUGACUAGACUAGUUAAAAGGUAAAUAGUAGGCGUUCAAUAAAUUAUAUUUGAAAAUAAAUGCCCUCCCCAUAGCUGUUCUUAUCUUUAAUCCCUCUAACUCAAAUAAACAGUCUUCUCUUUUCCUAAGAACAAACCUAAAUUAGUUUGAGACUACCAAAAUAUCAUAAGGGAAGAAGUAAAUGGUGUCAUAAAUUACCAUUUACUUGUAAGUUUGCUGUUUUCCUCCUCAGAUUCAACAUCAGUCAUCUAUGGAAAAUGAAUAGGUGAUCUUCUAGGUAUGUUCCAAGCUUUAGUAAUUCAUGACCUAAGGAAUAACUGUAGUCAUGAAGUUAAGAUGUAAAUGUUUAAUUACAAUAAUUACCAACAAUGUUUCUGUACACUAUAGUAGAGAAGCUAGAGAAAAGUGUAUGUGAGUGUAAAACACUUAAAGUUGAUAUACAAGAGAAAUGUUUUAUUAAUUUAUUGGAAGAUAUUUCAUUUUUCUCAUACAAAAGUAUUACCUAGUGAUAUCUAAUGACUUUCCAUGUUUUGUUGUUAUUAUCAUUUUGACCUCUUGUGUUUCAUAAUAUGUUUGCAAACAAUUACAUCCAUCUAGGGGAAAUUGUUUAGAGACCUAACAGCCUUCUAUGAGUCAAAAUCAUUUGUGCAUAGAACAAGUAAAAAUCAUUUAACAUAUAGGAAUAUAACAUGUAUAGCUGGUAAAUCUGAAAUUGCUAAUGUAGAUUGCCACUCCAGUCAAUAUAUAUCAAACAUUUCUAUCAAAUGUACCAUCUAUCAUGUAUGUGCAUUGCUUUUGUAGUUUUUAUUUCCCUUUUUAUUGUAGAAAGUAUAUAUUACUGUGACUAAAAACUACUCUUUGGGGAAUACAGUGGUUUCCAGGUCAGUGGAAAUGUGGAUUUAAAUAUUAAAAAGUGGAGUAGUUUAACCCUAGUUUGACCUUUAUCACCUCUCAGGUGAAUUGGGUGUAUUUGAAAGAAUGUAUCUGAAAAACAACAGAAUAGCGAAAAAAUUACAUCUGUGUAACCCUGUGGUCAAUCCAAUAACAGUAUUUUUAAUGAAUAAGUUCAAAACAGUAUACAUGUGUGUAUGUCCACUGUGUCUCUUUGUUUGUGCAUAUUUGUAUUUAUGUACUUAUGUAUUUUCAAUGCAUUGUCUGUCUUGUGAAUAUUUCAGUCUUUCAAGACAUCAUUUGCUUUUUCUACCAAAAUAUCAAUCUCCAUUUAUAUUACUCUAGCAAGUAAACUUCAAGCUUCAAAUAAGUUAAGAAAUACUGCCAUGAAAGCUGGAAAGAAGGAGUCUAAAGACCAACUUAUUGGAAUUCCUGCUAUGGCUCAGUGGGUUAAGAACCUAACUAGCAUCCAUGAGGAUGUGGGGUUCAUUCCUUGGCCUUGCUCAGUGGAUUAAGGAUCCGGUGUUGCUGUGAGCUCUGGUGUAGGUUGCAGACACGGCUCGGAUCCUGUGUUGCUGUGGCUGUGGUAUAGGGCCACAGCUGCAGCUCCAAUUCUACUCCUGGCC
rnacentral:lncRNA from 1 species